rnacentral:lncRNA from 1 species
UUAUCUUAUGCAACCUACCACUACAUAUGCAUGCAUCAAUAGUAAACAUGACUCUUAGACAUAGAGGCGAUCUAGUCGCUUCGGUAAACACAACCCACCUCGAUUCGCUCUCCGAUUGCUUGUAGUCACUUGCAAUUGGCCUCCCGCGACACCCGUAUCCGGCACGGCCCAAUCUUGCAGUUGCGCACCAACCGUGCGCCGAAUCGCGGCUCCGGAAAUUAUAGUCUACGGUUUGCCGCCACUGUGCUCCAAAUCCGUUUCCAUGAUUUUUAGUCGUCGCCUCGGCCCUCCAGGCGAAAACGAAGCUAAAUAGUCCGUUUCUUCAAUAUCUACGCACCGGCUCGACGAAUCGUCGAACCGAC